rnacentral:rRNA from 1 species
AUCUGGCUCAGGACGAACGCUGGCGGCGUGCCUAAUACAUGCAAGUCGAGCGGACAGAUGGGAGCUUGCUCCCUGAUGUUAGCGGCGGACGGGUGAGUAACACGUGGGUAACCUGCCUGUAAGACUGGGAUAACUCCGGGAAACCGGGGCUAAUACCGGAUGGUUGUCUGAACCGCAUGGUUCAGACAUAAAAGGUGGCUUCGGCUACCACUUACAGAUGGACCCGCGGCGCAUUAGCUAGUUGGUGAGGUAACGGCUCACCAAGGCGACGAUGCGUAGCCGACCUGAGAGGGUGAUCGGCCACACUGGGACUGAGACACGGCCCAGACUCCUACGGGAGGCAGCAGUAGGGAAUCUUCCGCAAUGGACGAAAGUCUGACGGAGCAACGCCGCGUGAGUGAUGAAGGUUUUCGGAUCGUAAAGCUCUGUUGUUAGGGAAGAACAAGUGCCGUUCAAAUAGGGCGGCACCUUGACGGUACCUAACCAGAAAGCCACGGCUAACUACGUGCCAGCAGCCGCGGUAAUACGUAGGUGGCAAGCGUUGUCCGGAAUUAUUGGGCGUAAAGGGCUCGCAGGCGGUUUCUUAAGUCUGAUGUGAAAGCCCCCGGCUCAACCGGGGAGGGUCAUUGGAAACUGGGGAACUUGAGUGCAGAAGAGGAGAGUGGAAUUCCACGUGUAGCGGUGAAAUGCGUAGAGAUGUGGAGGAACACCAGUGGCGAAGGCGACUCUCUGGUCUGUAACUGACGCUGAGGAGCGAAAGCGUGGGGAGCGAACAGGAUUAGAUACCCUGGUAGUCCACGCCGUAAACGAUGAGUGCUAAGUGUUAGGGGGUUUCCGCCCCUUAGUGCUGCAGCUAACGCAUUAAGCACUCCGCGCUG